CCUACGGGAGGCAGCAGUGGGGAAUAUUGCACAAUGGGGGAAACCCUGAUGCAGCGACGCCGCGUGAGUGAAGAAGUAUUUCGGUAUGUAAAGCUCUAUCAGCAGGGAAGAAACCCACCCUCCGGGGUGGCUGACGGUACCUGACUAAGAAGCCCCGGCUAACUACGUGCCAGCAGCCGCGGUAAUACGUAGGGGGCAAGCGUUAUCCGGAUUUACUGGGUGUAAAGGGAGCGUAGGUGGCAAGGCAAGUCAGAUGUGAAAACCCGGGGCUCAACCCCGGGACUACAUUGGAAACUGCCGAACUAGAGUGUCGGAGAGGCAAGUGGAAAUCCUAGUGUAGCGGUGUAAUGCGUAGAUAUUAGGAGGAACACCAGUGGCGAAGGCGGCUUGCUGGACGAUGACUGACGUUGAGGCUCGAAAGCGUGGGGAGCAAACAGGAUUAGAUACCCCUGUAGUC
rnacentral:rRNA from 1 species